rnacentral:rRNA from 1 species
CGUGUAGGCGGCGCUUCAAGUUCGUCGUGAAAGACCCCGGCUCAACCGGGGGAGGUCGAGGGAGACUGAGGCGCUGGAGGACGGUAGAGGGACAGGGAAUUCCGGGUGUAGUGGUGAAAUGCGUAGAGAUCCGGAGGAACACCAGUGGCGAAGGCGCUGUCCUGGGCCGUUACUGACGCUGAGACGCGACAGCAUGGGGAGCGAACGGGAUUAGAAACCCCGGUAGUCCAUGCCGUAAACGAUGCCGACUGGGUGUUCGGCUCCCGGAAGGGAGUUGGGUGCCGCAGCUAACGCGCGAAGUCGGCCGCCUGGGGAGUACGGUCGCAAGGCUAAA